rnacentral:lncRNA from 1 species
GUUUCCUCCCUCCCACUUUAGCCUAAAACGGUUGAGGUCCUCUCUCCUCUGACCUAAAUCGACCAUAACCCUCCACUCAAAUGGCCUCCACGAUUAUGCCCUAUGAGAAUCGCACAUUUCUAGCAGAGCCCCGUAGAAGCCCUAUGACAUGUUGAUUCUGCCCGCUGAAACCCAUCUGUAAUUCUUCAUUGCAGUUGUUUGCCGUCGUUCUACCUUAGCAAUUGACCCCCUCGAAUUACCUCUACUACAACCAUCGGCCUCAUGUUCCAAUCGAAAUCUUAUAUCCCAUUUUCACUGGAGGAUGAAUGGAGGGGUGUAAAGUGGUGGGCUCUGCUCUUCAAUUAGUCUGUUUUGACGAUAUCGUGCUAAUAUUGACCUAGUUGAAAGCUACUUAGAAAUUUACUUAUGAGCGACGCCAUUAAGAAGUAUUUAGUAAUCAACUAAAUGGAGUGGAGGCAGAGGCAGAGCGUAAGCUAUGCUUUCUACAGAACUUGAAAAGGUACAGAAGGAAUAUUACACUACUGACAUAAUGACGUUUCACAAGAACCACAGAAAGCUGCAGCUUCUCCGUCUACAUUUUUGAGGAUCAUGAAAGGAAAAAAGUUGAGCUCGAAGUUAUGCAAAAAGAUAUUUACAGCUAGUGAAAUAUUUUGGAAGCUAUGAUGCGAAAGGUUAUAAAACAAUUACCGGUUGAAGAUCUAGAGUAGAAUGUUUCCAUUUCUCUUCAUCAUUGUAAUUGACACUUUGUGUUGACUAUAUUGAUUCGAGUUUAAUUUAACAUGUAAAGUACACCAUUUGAUUAUCAAUGAUAUUUGUGUUUUUUUU